UGCGCAGGCUGUGGAGUAAGUCGGAUGUGAAAUUUAGAGGCUCAACCUCUAAACUGCAUUCGAUACUGCUUCGCUAGAGGACUGUAGAGGAGAUUGGAAUUCACGGUGUAGCAGUGAAAUGCGUAGAUAUCGUGAGGAAGACCAGUGGCGAAGGCGAAUCUCUGGGCAGUUCCUGACGCUCAUGCACGAAGGCCAGGGGAGCAAACG
rnacentral:rRNA from 1 species